CUACAUCUCUUCAUUUAUUCAAUAAUUAUGUAUAUUUAGUAUUAAUUAUUAAUCUUUAUUAUUUUUUUUACUGUGCAUUGUACACUGUAAAUAUGCAGGUAGUUUGGCCCUAGCUCGCUUUGGUCAGCGUCUCCACCUUUGGUUGGCAAGUGCAUAGAUGUUUGGUUGGCAGCAAUGAAGGCUCCAUCUUUUGACUAUAUUUGGAGUUCCUGUGUUUAGUUCUGGUUUCCAAUGGGUUGCUGGGGGGAUAUCUGAAGAUAUGGAGCAAUUAGAGUAUGUAGCCUCAUCUUCUUUUUAUUUUUUAAUAUCUGUCUGUUUUUUUAUAAUUUUUUU